CCUACGGGCGGCAGCAGUGAGGAAUAUUGGUCAAUGGACGAGAGUCUGAACCAGCCAAGUAGCGUGAAGGAUGACUGCCCUAUGGGUUGUAAACUUCUUUUAUAUGGGAAUAAAACGUUCCACGUGUGGGAUUUUGUAUGUACCAUAUGAAUAAGGAUCGGCUAACUCCGUGCCAGCAGCCGCGGUAAUACGGAGGAUCCGAGCGUUAUCCGGAUUUAUUGGGUUUAAAGGGAGCGUAGGUGGAUUGUUAAGUCAGUUGUGAAAGUUUGCGGCUCAACCGUAAAAUUGCAGUUGAAACUGGCAGUCUUGAGUACAGUAGAGGUGGGCGGAAUUCGUGGUGUAGCGGUGAAAUGCUUAGAUAUCACGAAGAACUCCGAUUGCGAAGGCAGUUCACUGGACUGCAACUGACACUGAGGCUCGAAAGUGUGGGUAUCAAACAUGAUUAGAUACCCUGGUAGUC
rnacentral:rRNA from 1 species